AAUGAACGCUGGCGGCAUGCCUAACACAUGCAAGUCGAACGAAGGCUUCAGCCUUAGUGGCGCACGGGUGCGUAACGCGUGGGAAUCUGCCCUCAGGUUCGGAAUAACAGCGAGAAAUUGCUGCUAAUACCGGAUGAUGUCGUGAGAACAAAGAUUUAUCGCCCAAGGAUGAGCCCGCGUAGGAUUAGCUAGUUGGUGGGGUAAAGGCCCACCAAGGCGAAGAUCCUUAUCUGGUCUGAGAGGAUGAUCAGCCACACUGGGACUGAGACACGGCCCAGACUCCUACGGGAGGAAGCAGUGGGGAAUAUUGGACAAUGGGCGAAAGCCUGAUCCAGCAAUGCCGCGUGAGUGAUGAAGGCCUUAGGGUUGUAAAGCUCUUUUACCCGGGAUGAUAAUGACAGUACCGGGAGAAUAAGCUCCGGCUAACUUCGUGCCAGCAGCCGCCGUAA
rnacentral:rRNA from 1 species